rnacentral:tRNA from 1 species
GCCUUCGUGGUGUAAUGGUCAGCACACUGAGCCGGUAAUUCAGAGGUCCGUGGGUUCGAUCCCCGGCGAAGGCA